ACCGCGAUAAGCUCAGCUGGUGGAGCGUCUGCCCGGUAUGCGGGAGGGUCGCCGGUUCGAUUCCGGCUCGCGGCG
rnacentral:tRNA from 1 species